rnacentral:misc_RNA from 1 species
GAUGAAGAACGUAGCGAAAUGCGAUACGUAAUGUGAAUUGCAGAAUUCAGUGAAUCAUCGAGUCUUUGAACGCACAUUGCGCCCCCUGGUAUUCCGGGGGGCAUGCCUGUCCGAGCGUCAUUGCUGCCCUCAAGCACGGCUUGUGUGUUGGGCCUCCGUCCUCGUCCCGGGGGACGGGCCCGAAAGGCAGCGGCGGCACCGCGUCCGGUCCUCGAGCGUAUGGGGCUUCGUCACCCGCUCUUGUAGGCCCGGCCGGCGCUUGCCGACACAUCAAUCUUUUUUCCAGGUUGACCUCGGAUCAGGUAGGGAUACCCGCUGAACUUAAGCAUAUCAAUAAGCGGAGG